rnacentral:rRNA from 1 species
UUCCUACGGGAGGCAGCAGUAAGGAAUAUUGGACAAUGCCCGCAAGGGUGAUCCAGCCAUGCCGCGUGCAGGAAGACGGCCCUAUGGGUUGUAAACUGCUUUUGUACGGGAGAAAACCCUUCUACGUGUAGGAGGCUGAUAGUACCGUAAGAAUAAGCAUCGGCUAACUUCGUGCCAGCAGCCGCGGUAAGACGAAGGAUGCAAGCGUUAUCCGGAUUCAUUGGGUUUAAAGGGAGCGUAGGUGGCCUUGUAAGUCAGUGGUGAAAUCCUGUAGCUUAACUAUAGAAUUGCCAUUGAUACUGCAGGGCUUGAGUACAGAUGCCGUUGGCGGAAUAUGACAUGUAGUGGUGAAAUACUUAGAUAUGUCAUAGAACACCGAUUGCGAAGGCAGCUGACGAAACUGUAACUGACACUGAGGCUCGAAAGUGUGGGGAGCAAACAGGAUUAGAUACCCUGGUAGUCCACACUGUAAACGAUGAUUACUCGCUGCUGGAGGGCAACUUUCAGUGGCUUAGCAAAAGCGAUAAGUAAUCCACCUGGGGAGUACGCCGGCAACGGUGAAACUCAAAGGAAUUGACGGGGGCCCGCACAAGCGGAGGAGCAUGUGGUUUAAUUCGAUGAUACGCGAGGAACCUUACCAGGGCUUGAAAGUUAGCGACCGGGUGUGAAAGCACCCUUCCCUUCGGGGCGCGAAACUAGGUGCUGCAUGGCUGUCGUCAGCUCGUGCCGUGAGGUGUUGGGUUAAGUCCCGCAACGAGCGCAACCCCUACCAUUAGUUGCCAGCGGUUCGGCCGGGGACUCUAAUGGAACUGCCCGCGCAAGCGGUGAGGAAGGUGGGGAUGACGUCAAGUCAUCACGGCCCUUACGUCCUGGGCUACACACGUGCUACAAUGGCUAUUACAGAGGGCUGCUACAUGGCAACAUGAUGCAAAUCUUUCAAAAAUAGUCUCAGUUCGGAUUGGGGUCUGCAACUCGACCUCAUGAAGCUGGAUUCGCUAGUAAUCGCGCAUCAGCAAUGGCGCGGUGAAUACGUUCCCGGGCCUUGUACACACCGCCAA